GGAAGAGGGGGAGGGGCGCCCCAAGCGAUUUAACCCUGGAGCGCCGCUCGUGUGAGGCGCAGGUGGGCGCCCGGGUGCGAGUGGGACUCUGCUCGCCUGGCGGGCCGCGUCCGCCUGCCCAGUGGCCAUGAUAGUGUUUGUCAGGUUCAACUCUAACCACGGGUUCCCAGUGGAAGUCGAUUCUGACACCAGCAUCUUCCAGCUCAAGGAGCUGGUUGCUACGCGACAGGGGGUUCCAGCUGACCAGUUGUGUGUGAUUUUCGCAGGGAAGGAGCUUCAGAAUGACUUGACAGUGCAGAGCUGUGACCUGGAUCAGCAGAGCAUCGUUCACAUUGUGCUGAGACCGCGGAGAAAAGGCCCAGAAGGGCACAGCCCACGGCCCACAUGGGGGCGCUCUGACAGGGAGCCCCAGAGCCUGACUCGCGUGGACCUCAGCAGCUCGGUGCUCCCCGCCGACUCGGUGGGCCUGGCUGUUAUACUGCAGGACGGCGAGGAGAGCGGUGCCUCAUCAGCCCGCAGGCCAGCAGGUAGACCGACCUACAACAGCUUUUAUGUCUACUGCAAAGGCCCGUGUCAAGGAGUGCAGCCGGGAAAGCUCAGGGUGCGUUGCAGCACCUGCCAACAAGCAACACUCACCUUGGCCCAGGGUCCUUCUUGCUGGGAAGAUGUCUUAAUCCCAAACCGAAUGAGUGGUGAAUGCCAGUCUCCAAACUGCCCUGGGACCAGAGCGGAGUUUUUCUUUAAAUGUGGAGCACACCCGACCUCUGACAAGGAAACAUCAGUAGCUUUGAACCUGAUCACAACAAACAGUCGAGACAUCAGCUGCAUAACGUGUACGGACAUCAGGAGCCCCGUCCUGGUUUUCCAGUGCACACACCGCCACGUGAUCUGCUUGGACUGUUUCCACCUGUACUGCGUGACCAGACUCAAUGAUCGGCAGUUUGUCCACGAUCCGCAGCUUGGCUACUCUCUGCCUUGUGUGGCUGGCUGUCCCAACUCCUUGAUUAAAGAGCUCCAUCACUUCAGGAUUCUUGGAGAAGAGCAGUACAACCGGUACCAGCAGUACGGGGCGGAAGAGUGCGUGCUGCAGUUAGGGGGCGUGCUCUGCCCCGGCCCGGGCUGCGGGGCCGGGCUGCUUCCAGAGCCCGGCCAGCGGAAGGUCUCCUGCGAGCCGGGCCGCGGCCUGGGCUGCGGGUUCGUCUUCUGCCGGGACUGUAAGGAACCGUACCACGAGGGUGACUGCGGCACCGUGGUUGAAGCCUCAGGAACAGUCACUCAGGCCUACAGAGUCGAUGAGAAGGCGGCAGAGCAGGCCCGGUGGGAGGAAGCCUCCAGAGAAACAAUCAAGAAGACCACCAAGCCCUGUCCCCACUGCCACGUGCCGGUAGAAAAAAAUGGGUCUCCAGCGUGGACAGAAGAGAGCCGACACUGAGUGGAAGUGAGCACGCGUAGAGGUGAGUGUGAGCCAGCAGAUGCGGUGUGCGGGUGCAUGCUUCCCACCCCCAGUCACCCUCGCCAGGCCACUUCUGCACCACGGAGAGGAUCCAUGUCAGCUUCGAAAAGAAAACCGUGUCUCAAAACAACGCUGGGCCUGCCUUCAGAUGACCCACUUCGCUCAGUCGUGUCCGACUCUUUGUGAUCCCGUGGACUGCAGCCCGCCAGGUUCCUCUUGACUCAGAUGAUGAUGAAACAUGGUAGAGACACUCUGCUGCUUCUUGCAAAGGACUUUUGCCAGGUGGAUUUGAACAAGGGUGCUGACCACCGUUCCCCCUGAGCCCAGGACCCAGAGGUUCCUGCACAGAAACUGGGUCUGUCCUGGGCAAAGAGGAUGAGUUGGUCUCCCUGCUGUGGACCACCUCUCGGGGAGCCAGGUGCGGGGAGCAGCAUAGACCCGGGGACGAGCCUCUCGCAGGCCCAGCAGGCUUGGCUAAUGUCACUGCUCUGGCCCUGCCUGAAAUUCCCCCUGAUCCUCCCUCAAGCCAAAACAGUCAACACGGAUACCUCCCAAGGACUUUGUCCCACCCAGAAGUGUUAGUCGCUCAGUCAUGUCCAACUCUUUGUGGCCCCAUGGAGUGGGUACCCAUUCCCUCCUCCAGGGGAUUUUCCUGACCCAGGAAUCAAACCCAGGUCUCCUGCAUUGCAGGCAGAUUCUUUCCUGUCUGAGCCACCUUCUCUGGAGGAUCAGCUAAACCCAUAGAAAGCCCUGGACUCUUAACCACGUGGUACUUGAGAAUCCCUGAAUUCUGAAAUGCCUCUCUGCAUUAGCAGCUGACUUUAUUUUCAGGUCCGUUUGUCAUGGAGACAUUCCGAUUUCGUGAUUUCACACGAGCCCUGUGCAUUGACCACCGUUGAGUCAGCACUGCCUCCUUCCCUGAUGACAUCUGAGGCCCAUCAGCUGCUCCCUCCAAUCCAGCGGGCCUCACUCAGGGUCCCUGUCUCAGCCAAACCUUUCCCGGCCAACCCAUCCUCGACUGUCCAGACCACUGCCCCCGCCCCAACCCCUCCCCGCCCAGCUUGCUUUUUCUCCAUUGUGCUCCUUUGUAUCUGACAUCACUUCAGUUCAGUUCAGUUCAGUCACUCAGUCGUGUCCGACUCUUUGCGACCCCUUGAAUCACAGCACGCCAGGCCUCCCUGUCCUUCAGUA